rnacentral:rRNA from 1 species
UACGUAGGGUCCGAGCGUUGUCCGGAAUUAUUGGGCGUAAGGGGCUCGUAGGCGGUUCGUCACGUCGGGAGUGAAAACUCGGGGCUUAACCCCGAGCCUGCUUCCGAUACGGGCAGACUAGAGGUAGGCAGGGGAGAGCGGAACUCCUGGUGUAGCGGUGGAAUGCGCAGAUAUCAGGAAGAACACCGGUGGCGAAGGCGGCUCUCUGGGCCUUACCUGACGCUGAGGAGCGAAAGCGUGGGUAGCGAACAGG